CCGUCUGCGUACCAAACGGUACCUUAAUCCUCAUCCUCGGUCCUCUUCUCCCUUAUUUACACGAGACUUUCUCUUUCUCUAACUAUGCAACCUCUCUUUCCUUCACCCUCUCUAGCCGAGUGCCAAACCACCAUAACCUUCACCAUCCAAGAGAAAUUUGUCUCUCAAAAUAUCACAACCCCACUCUGUGAAGCUUGGUGAGCAUGGUGCUGCCCUUGCAUAUGAAAAUUGUUACUAGGUAAGGCACGAACUCACUACACAGGCAUUCUGCAAGUUUAAGUGCGAACUUGAAAGAACUGAGCCUAAUCGAGCUCGAGAUCAUCUUCAAUAUUUUCCAGUUUUCCGGUGAAGAUGUCUAGUGAAGCUUCAUCAAAUCCAGGAUGGAUUCAACUCGAAAUCUUCAUGUUUUGGUAAGUACUCUGAACUUUUGGUAUGAUUUUGGUGAAGAUCCAAAAUGGAUCUGAGGUUUUUAACCUCUACAAUUCGGUUCUAGAAAACGGUGAAACAAUAAACCCGUUCCAAAUCAGUCCCAAAUCAACUCAUAUCGAGGAUUAGGUAAAUUUCUAAAACUUGUUGUACAAUUCUGUCAAAAUUUGGAUGAAGAAUCGAGCUGAUUCGAACUCUGGUCCGAGUUCUAAGUCUUUUCUGGAGCUUCGGCGAUGGUCAACGGUGUCGCCGUUAAAUUUAAUGGCGACAAGCAAUGGCGUCCGUUAGACAUAACAUAAUCUUCAAUGGAAAUCAGAUAUAUUCCAUUAAACCUUAAACUAUAUCCGAUGACUGGCUCGUGGCCACCGGCACGGUGACUGCAGCUGUACUCGCAUGACGGCGUGCAACGGCGGCACGUCCAGUUGCGCGUGAUGGCGUGUGACGCCACCAUGGGGGUGUGUGGCAGCGUGUAGGGGACUCAGACCUACUUUAAGUUUUUUGAUGUACCGAAUCGCGUAGUGCCGUCUGUUUAGGCUAAUUCAAAGCUGUUAAUAAAAUUGUGAAAUGUUAUAAUAGGCUUAGUAAAUCUAAUUGUUAUUUUAUAGGUGCAA